CCCUUAGAUGUCCUGGGCCGCACGCGCGCUACACUGAUUGUCUGAGAUACGAGUCUGCCUGGUCCGGCAAGGUCUAGGUAAUCGCUAAAAGACACAUCAUGCUUGGGAUAGAUUAUUGCAAAUAUUAAUCUUGAACGAGGAAUUCCUAGUAAGCGCAAGUCAACAGCUUGCGUUGAUUACGUCCCUGCCCUUUGUACACACCGCCCGUCGCUACUACUGAUUGGAUGUUUAAGCGAGGUUCUCGAACUGCUAGCGACUUAGCUUCGGUGAGGUCGCAGUGUGGGAAGUGACCCUAGCUUUGGUGUCUAGAGGAAGUAAAAGUCGUAACA
rnacentral:rRNA from 1 species